UGGGGAAUCUUGCGCAAUGGGCGAAAGCCUGACGCAGCAACGCCGCGUGCGGGAUGAAGGCCCUCGGGUUGUAAACCGCUUUCAGUGGGGACGAAUCAAGACGGUACCCACAGAAGAAGCCCCGGCCAACUACGUGCCAGCAGCCGCGGUAACACGUAGGGGGCAAGCGUUGUCCGGAUUUAUUGGGCGUAAAGAGCUCGUAGGUGGUUCGAUAAGUCGGGUGUGAAACCUCCAGGCUCAACCUGGAGACGCCACCCGAUACUGUCGUGACUAGAGUCCAGUAGGGGAGCGUGGAAUUCCUGGUGUAGCGGUGAAAUGCGCAGAUAUCAGGAGGAACACCAGCGGCGAAGGCCGCUCUGGGCUGGCACUGACACUGAGGAGCGAAAGCGUGGGGAGCGAACA
rnacentral:rRNA from 1 species